rnacentral:rRNA from 1 species
GACGAACGCUGGCGGCGUGCUUAACACAUGCAAGUCGAACGGAAAGGCCCUGCUUUUGUGGGGUGCUCGAGUGGCGAACGGGUGAGUAACACGUGAGUAACCUGCCCUUGACUUUGGGAUAACUUCAGGAAACUGGGGCUAAUACCGGAUAGGAGCUCCUGCUGCAUGGUGGGGGUUGGAAAGUUUCGGCGGUUGGGGAUGGACUCGCGGCUUAUCAGCUUGUUGGUGGGGUAGUGGCUUACCAAGGCUUUGACGGGUAGCCGGCCUGGGAGGGUGACCGGCCACAUUGGGACUGAGAUACGCCCCAGACUCCUACGGGAGGCAGCAGUGGGAAAUAUUGCACAAUGGGCGGAAGCCUGAUGCAGCAACGCCGCGUGCGGGAUGACGGCCUUCGGGUUGUAAACCGCUUUCGCCUGUGACGAAGCGUGAGUGACGGUAAUGGGUAAAGAAGCACCGGCUAACUACGUG